AUGGCUGGAAUUGUGGUGUCACACAAGGAAGGCACCUGCUCCACCAACACUUCCUCCAGUCUGAUGGCAGCACAGUGAGGAAAGGCAAGGGCAAAGGCAGCUCUGAAAAUUCGGCCGUGAAGCAGGUGCAGAUCGACGGCCUGGUAGUAUUAAAGAUAAUCAAACAUUAUCAAGAAGAAGGACAAGGAACUGAUGUUGUUCAGGGAGUGCUCCUGGGUCUGGUUGUAGAAGAUCGACUAGAGAUUACUAACUAUUUCCCGUUCCCCUAGCACAUGGAGGAUGAUGCUGACUUUGAUGAAGUACAGUCAGUACCAGAUGGAGAUGCUGCGCAGCCUUCGCCAUGUAAACAUUGAUCACCUCCACAUGGGCUGGUAUCAGUGCACAUACUAUGGCUUCUUCAUUACCCCGGCACUUCUGGAUUCUCAGUUCAGUUACUAGCAUGCCACCGAAGAAUCUGUCGUUCUCAUUUACAAUCCCAUAAAAACUGCCCGAGGAUCUCUCUUACUGGGGGCAUACAGACUCCUAAACUGACAGAAGAGUUUGUAAAGGGAAGGACUUUUCCCCUGAAGCAUUGAAAAAGGCAAACAUCACCUUUGAGCACAUGUUUGAAGAAGUGCAGAUUGUAAUUAAAAAUUCACAUCUGAUCGAUGUCCUAAUGUGGGAGCUGGAGAAGAAGUCAGCUGUGGUGAAUAAGCAUGAAUUGCUCAGUUUUGCUAGCAGCAAUCGUUUAGGGAAGAAUCUCCAGUUGCUGGAGGGCCGGGCCGAUGAAAUGAGCCAGGACAUAAUCAAAUACAACACAUACAUGAAGAACACCAGUCAACAGCAGUAAAAACGUCAGUAUCAGCAGCGCCGCCAACAGGAGAAUAUGCACCUCUCCAAACUCUUCAAGCCCCACCGGGGCCCCUGCCUGGAUGGAUUCACUGCUCAUCGCAGUCCAGAUUAACACUUACUGCCAGACCAUCAAGGAGUUCACUACCCAAAACUUAGGCAAACUCUUCGUGGCCCAGGCUCUUCGAGAAUACAAUAAUUAA